UUUUGUUUGCUCAGUGGGGUUUUUAUUGCUCAGUGAGGUUGUUUUUUGGUCAGUGAGGUUGUUUUUUGGUCAUUGGGGUUGUUUUUUGCUUGGUGAGUUUUGUCUUUUGCUCAGUGGGGUUGUUUUUGCUCAGUGAGGUUGUUUUUUGGUCAGUGGGAUUGUUUUUUGCUUGGUGGGGUUGUUUUUUGCUCGGUGGGGCUGUUUUUUGGUCAGUGGUGUUGUUUUUUGGUCAGUGGGGCUGUUUUUUGCUCAGUGGGGCUGUUUUUUGCUCGGUGGGGUUGGUGUUUGCUCAGUGGGGUUGUUUUUUGCUCGGUGGGGCUGUUUUUUGCUCAGUGGGGUUGGUGUUUGCUCAGUGGGGUUGGUUUUUGCUCAGUGGGGCUGUUUUUUGCUCAGUGGGGUUGGUGUUUGCUCAGUGGGGUUGGUUUUUGCUCGGUGGGGUUGUUUUUUGCUCGGUGGGGCUGGUUUUUGCUCGGUGGGGCUGUUUUUUGCUCAGUGGGGUUGUUUUUUGCUCGGUGGGGCUGUUUUUUGCUCAGUGGGGUUGGUUUUUGCUCAGUGGGGUUGUUUUUUGCUCGGUGGGGCUGUUUUUUGCUCAGUGGGUCUGUUUUUUGCUCGGUGGGGCUGUUUUUUGCUCGGUGAGGCUGUUUUUUGCUCGGUGGGGUUGUUUUUUGCUCGGUGGGGCUGUUUUUUGCUCGGUGGGGUUGUUUUUUGCUCGGUGGGGCUGUUUUUGCUCAGCAGCCCGAUUCUCCCAUUUCUCAUGCCUGGUUUCAAUGCCUACAGUGACACACAGUGGCGAUGGGCU
rnacentral:lncRNA from 1 species